CCUACGGGAGGCAGCAGUGAGGAAUAUUGGUCAAUGGACGCAAGUCUGAACCAGCCAAGUCGCGUGCAGGAAGACGGCCCUAUGAGUCGUAAACUUCUUUUGUACGAGGGUAAACGCAGAUACGCGUAUCUGUCUGAAAGUAUCGUACGAAUAAGGAUCGGCGAACUCCGUGCCAGCAGCCGCGGUAAUACGGAGGAUUCAAGCGUUAUCCGGAUUUCUUUGGUUUAAAGGGUGCGUGGGCGGUCGGAUAAGUUAGAGGUGAAAUCCUGGGGCUCAACCUCGGAAUUGCCUCUGAUACUGGUCGGCUAGAGAGUAGUUGCGGUAGGCGGAAUGUGUGGUGUAGCGGUGAAAUGCUUAGAGAUCAUACAGAACACCGAUUGCGAAGGCAGCUUACC
rnacentral:rRNA from 1 species